rnacentral:tRNA from 1 species
GAUUCGUUAGCUCAGCAGGUAGAGCAUCUGCCUUUUAAGCAGAGGGUCCCGAGUUCGAGCCUCGGACGAAUCACAA